CACAGCCAUGCUAGGCACACAUUGUUGAGUCCUCUUGCCAUGAAGAAACCAAAGAGUGAAUCUUCAUCCACAGUAUGCUGUGGAAAACACCUCAGUCUCCACCAAGAAAAAAAAGCCAAGUGAUACCUGCUGCAUACAGGAUGCCACCACUAGCCCUGAUGUACCAACCGCACGUGUAUAGAGUUGUAAACUUGUCUCGCAUGUCAGGUUGCUUGACAGGCACCUUUCUGGCCAAUGAGAUGAAGAGAGAAGCAGACAAGAGCCAAUGAUUUUCCAGGUGCACCCAAGUUUGGAAACCGCAAACUCUAAAAAGAAAAAACACAGUCCUGUCCUCCCCCUUCAAAGAGGUCAUGAGAACUGGGAUGACUGGCAGCGAGAACGUGUCUGUGAGUAUGUUUGGGAUGACGUCUAAAGGGAUUGUGUUUCAUCUGAUGUUGCCACCAGACACUCUGAGGGGCAUGAGGCAGACUAAUACACCAAGCAAUUUGUAGUGCAGUGCUGAUAACUGGAAGCAACAGGCAACAAAGUGAUUCCCUGGGUCUAAAAACUAUUAGAAAGUUUCAUGGUAAUGAUUAAAAUAAUAACUCAAAGGCAACUGUUGGAUCACUUUGUUACAUUAGAUCAGAUUAAAUUAAUAAGUUUAGGGAGGUAAGUGUCUGAAGUUUGUGGUUAUAUUUCAUAUAACCACAAACUCUCAUUUUAAAUUGCAUUACUGAACAGGGCAGAUGAGAAGGAAAUGAUAUUCUGAGGUGAUUUUUCUUUGUCAAUUGGACAAUAAACUUGCCGUCUCUCGGUGCAGA